rnacentral:rRNA from 1 species
UCAAGCCUCCCAUACCACCACCUCAUCUGAUCUUGGAAGUUAAGCAGGGUAAGGUCUGGUUAGUACUCUGAUGGAAGAUUUUGGAUAGUUUGUU